AUACGUAGGUGGCAAGCGUUGUCCGGAUUUACUGGGCGUAAAGAGCGCGCAGGCGGCCGAGUAAGUCGAAUGUGAAAGCCCCCGGCUCAACUGGGGAUCGUCAUUCGAUACUGUUCGGCUCGAAGAUAGGAGAGGGAAGCGGAAUUUCAGGUGUAGUGGUGAAAUGCGUAGAUAUCUGAAGGAACACCAGUGGCGAAGGCGGCUUUCUGGCCUAUUCUUGACGCUGAGGCGCGAAAGCUAGGGGAGCGAACGGGAUUAGAAACCCCGGUAGUCC
rnacentral:rRNA from 1 species